rnacentral:lncRNA from 10 species
ACAGAACACAGCCCAAACUGCAGACGGAUCACACUGAGGUGUUCACAGAACUGCAGGAGAAGUAUGGGGAGAUUGAAGAGAUGAAUGUGUGCGACAACCUUGGGGACCACCUCGUGGGCAACGUCUAUGUCAAGGUGCUUGCUGCCCCCCACUUAGGGCCCAGAAGUGGAGGCGUUUCAAUGCCUGAUGGUGGCCACUGUAGGCUCUCAGCUUGAAUUUCAUCACUAAAUCCAGUCCAGCCCCAGAGCGGGUAGUGAGUCCCCUGAAGAUCUCUGAGUUCUCCUGCUGACCCUGACUGACAUUUCCUGCAGUUCCGGAGGGAGGAGGAUGGAGAGCGGGCCGUGGCUGAACUCAGUAACCGCUGGUUCAACGGGCAGGCUGUGCACGGGAAUGUACCCGAGGUGGCUUCUGCAACUUCAUGCAUCUGCGGCCCAUUUCCCAGAACCUCCAGAGGCAGCUCUAUGGGCGGGGACCCAGGCGCAGGUACCUCAGGACCAGCCUGCUAUGUCUCCUCAUGUCCUAAGGCCCCUAUAUCCUCAGAUGAGCCUAACCCUAAGCCCCAGUAACCACGUUCCCAAGAAUCUUUUUUUUUUUUUUUUUUUUUUGAGAUGGAGCCUCACUCUGUUGCCCAGGCUGGAGUGCAUUGGCACCAUCUUGGUUCAUGGCAACUUCCGCCUCCCGGGUUCAAGCAAUUCUCUGCCUCAGCCUCCCAAAUAGCUGGGAUUACAGGCACCUGCCACCAUGCCCGGCUAAUUUUUGUGUUUUUAGUAGAGAUGGGGUUUCACCAUCUUGGCCAGGCUGGUCUGAACUCCUAACCUCGUGAUCCACCUGCCUCACCCUCCCAAAGUGCUGGGAUUACAGGCGUGAGCCACCACUCCCGGCUGACUGUUUUUUUUUUUUUUUUUUUUUUUUUUUUUUGAGACGGAGUUUUGCUCUUCUUCCGCAGGCUGGAGUGCAAAGGCGCAGUCUUGGCUCAGUGCAACCUCUGCCUCCCAGGUUCAAGCAAUUCUCCUUUCUCAGCCUCCCAAGUAGCUGGGAUUAUAGGCACCUGCCACCAUGCCUGGCUAAUUUUUGUAUUUUUAGUAGAGAUGGGGUUUCACCACGUUGGCCAGCCUGGUCUCGAACUCCGGACCUCAGGUAAUCCACCCAUCUCGGCCUCCCAAAGUGUGGGGAUUACAGGCGUGAACCACUGCGCCCGGUCAUUCCCAAGACUCUUAUACCCUAAGAGUAGUUCUGAGCUCCAUCUGGAGACCAGUACCUAAGUCCCAAUCCCCAAACCAGCCUGAACCCCUAAUCCACGACCAGCCUGGAUUGCCACCCCUGAUACUGGCCACUGAGUUCCCCUGAUACUGGCCACUGAGGUCGUGUCUUAGAACUCUAGUUAUUUCAGCACCCUCCUGCCUCAUCCCAGAGCAGAGAGGCAGGCCUGCAGGAUCUCUGCACCACUCCUCAGGGUUCUAACAGAACUCUCAACGCUCCUAUUCCCAGGUCACCCCCGAGGUUCCAUACUGGCCACCAUCCCCGAGAGAGGAACCAUCGGUGUUCCCCUGAUCACUGGCAUGGCCGCUUCUGAGGCCCUGGCCCCCUUACCCUUCACCCCCAACAGGGACAGAUGUUCCUGGCAGGACCUCUCCUCAAAGCCCCCUUCACUCUCCUGCCCCAUCCUUCCCAGGCUCCCGGGCUCCAUAAUGUAAUCUGUUCAGCAUGGAGACCUUCUUCUACCGCCCCUGUCUUAAUAAAGCUGCGUGUUUCACUUCGGCAUC